UACGUAGGGUGCAAGCGUUAAUCGGAAUUACUGGGCGUAAAGCGUGCGCAGGCGGUUUUGUAAGUCAGAUGUGAAAUCCCCGGGCUUAACCUGGGAACUGCGUUUGAAACUACAAGGCUAGAGUGUGGCAGAGGGGGGUGGAAUUCCACGUGUAGCAGUGAAAUGCGUAGAGAUGUGGAGGAACACCAAUGGCGAAGGCAGCCUUCUGGGCCAACACUGACGCUCAUGCACGAAAGCGUGGGGAGCAAACAGG
rnacentral:rRNA from 1 species